UACGGGGGGGGCAAGCGUUGUUCGGAAUUACUGGGCGUAAAGGGCUCGUAGGUGGCCAACUAAGUCAGACGUGAAAUCCCUCGGCUUAACCGGGGAACUGCGUCUGAUACUGGAUGGCUUGAGUUCGGGAGAGGGAUGCGGAAUUCCAGGUGUAGCGGUGAAAUGCGUAGAUAUCUGGAGGAACACCGGUGGCGAAGGCGGCGAUCUGGGUAGAUACUGACGCUGAGGUGCGAAAGCGUGGGGAGCAAACAGG
rnacentral:rRNA from 1 species